GAUGAACGCUGGCGGCGUGCCUAAUACAUGCAAGUCGAGCGAAGCGGGGACGGGUGAGUAACACGUGGAUAACCUCCUAUAAGACUGGGAUAACUUCGGGAAAACGGUACUAAACCCGAAACUUAUCGCUGGAUCCGCGCUGCAUUAGCUAGUUGGUAAGGUAACGGCUUACCAAGUCAACGAUGCAUAGCCGACCUGAGAGGGUGAUCGGCCACACUGGAACUGAGACACGGUCCAGACUCCUACGGGAGGCAGCAGUAGGGAAUCUUCCGCAAUGGGCGAAAGCCUGACGGAGCAACGCCGCGUGAGUGAUGAAGGGCUUCGGAUCGUAAAACUCUGUUAUUAGGGAAGCGGUACCUAAUCAGAAAGCAACGGCUAACUACGUGCCAGCCGCCGCGGUAAUUC
rnacentral:rRNA from 1 species